CGUUGGUGACCAGCGGAGGGAUCAUUACUGAGUGUUACAACUCCCAAACCCUAUGUGAACACUACCAUUCGUUGCUUCGGCGGGACCGCCCCGGCGCCUCUGCGCGCCGGAACCAGGCGCCCGCCGGGGGCCCGAAACUCUUGUUUUGUCAGUGGAAUUUUCUCUGAGUGGCAUAAGCAAAUAAAUUAAAACUUUCAACAACGGAUCUCUUGGUUCUGGCAUCGAUGAAGAACGCAGCGAAAUGCGAUAAGUAAUGUGAAUUGCAGAAUUCAGUGAAUCAUCGAAUCUUUGAACGCACAUUGCGCCCGCCAGUAUUCUGGCGGGCAUGCCUGUUCGAGCGUCAUUUCAACCCUCGGGCCCCGCAUUCGUGCGGGCUCCGGCGUUGGGGACCGGCCUCCGCAUCGGACGGCCGCCCCCGAAACCCAGUGGCGGUCCCGCCGCGGCCUUCUCUGCGUAGUAGCAUACACCUCGCACUGGAGAGCGGCGCGGCCACGCCGUAAAAGAAACGAACUUUCUCAAGGUUGACCUCGGAUCAGGUAGGAAUACCCGCUGAACUUAAGCAUAUCAAUAAGCGGAGGAAAAGAAACCAACAGGGAUUGCCCCAGUAACGGCGAGUGAAGCGGCAACAGCUCAAUUUGAAAUCUGGCCUCACGGCCCGAGUUGUAAUUUGCAGAGGAUGCUUUUGGCGCGGCGCCUUCCGAGUGCCCUGGAACGGGACGCCAUAGAGGGUGAGAGCCCCGUCUGG
rnacentral:rRNA from 1 species